rnacentral:tRNA from 1 species
AGUAUUAUGCCUGAAAAAAGGAUUAAAAUGUAAAUUUAAUAAUGAAAAAUUUAUUUCUAAUACUA